rnacentral:piRNA from 1 species
CACUAUCUCAUGAAAGGUUCCAGUCAG